rnacentral:rRNA from 1 species
CGUAGGGUGCGAGCGUUGUCCGGAAUUAUUGGGCGUAAAGAGCUCGUAGGCGGUUUGUCGCGUCGACUGUGAAAACCCGAGGCUUAACCUCGGGCCUGCAGUUGAUACGGGCAGACUAGAGUUCGGUAGGGGAGACUGGAAUUCCUGGUGUAGCGGUGAAAUGCGCAGAUAUCAGGAGGAACACCGGUGGCGAAGGCGGGUCUCUGGGCCGAUACUGACGCUGAGGAGCGAAAGCGUGGGGAGCGAACAGGAUUAGAUACCCUGGUAGUCCACGCCGUAAACGUUGGGCGCUAGGUGUGGGGACCUAUCCACGGUUUCCGUGCCGCAGCUAACGCAUUAAGCGCCCCGCCUGGGGAGUACGGCCGCAAGGCUA